rnacentral:rRNA from 1 species
ACGCUCGACACCUACUGGAGGCAGCAGUGGGGAAUAUUGCACAAUGGGGGAAACCCUGAUGCAGCGACGCCGCGUGAAGGAAGAAGUAUUUCGGUAUGUAAACUUCUAUCAGCAGGGAAGAAAAUGACGGUACCUGACUAAGAAGCCCCGGCUAACUACGUGCCAGCAGCCACGGUAAUCUGAGCGGGCUGGCAAGGC